rnacentral:rRNA from 1 species
UGGGGAAUAUUGGACAAUGGGCGCAAGCCUGAUCCAGCCAUGCCGCGUGAGUGAUGAAGGCCCUAGGGUUGUAAAGCUCUUUCACCGGUGAGGAUAAUGACGGUAACCGGAGAAGAAGCCCCGGCUAACUUCGUGCCAGCAGCCGCGGUAAUACGAAGGGGGCUAGCGUUGUUCGGAUUUACUGGGCGUAAAGCGCACGUAGGCGGACUAUUAAGUCAGGGGUGAAAUCCCGGGGCUCAACCCCGGAACUGCCUUUGAUACUGGUAGUCUUGAGUUCGAGAGAGGUGAGUGGAAUUCCGAGUGUAGAGGUGAAAUUCGUAGAUAUUCGGAGGAACACCAGUGGCGAAGGCGGCUCACUGGCUCGAUACUGACGCUGAGGUGCGAAAGCGUGGGGAGCAAACAGG